CAAUAGCGUAUAUUAAAGUUGUUGCAGUUAGAACGCUCGUAGUCGGAUUUCGGGGCGGGCCGACCGGUCUGCCGAUGGGUACGCACUGGUCGGCGCGUCCUUCCUUCCGGAGACCGUGCCUACUCUUAACUGAGCGGGGGCGGGAGACGGAUCGUUUACUUUGAAAAAAUCAGAGUGUUUCAAGCAGGCAGCUCGCUCUUGCAUGGAUUAGCAUGGGAUAAUGAAAUAGGACUUUGGUGCUAUUUUGUUGGUUUCGAACACCGAAGUAAUGAUUAACAGGGACAGUCAGGGGCACUCGUAUUCCGCCGAGAGAGGUGAAAUUCUCAGACCAGCGGAAGACGAACCACUGCGAAAGCAUUUGCCAGGGAUGUUUUCACUGA
rnacentral:rRNA from 1 species